UACGUAGGGGGCAAGCGUUGUCCGGAAUCAUUGGGCGUAAAGAGCGUGUAGGCGGUUCGGUAAGUCGGCUGUGAAGGUCCAGGGCUCAACCCUGGGAUGCCGGUUGAUACUGCCGGACUAGAGUUCGGAAGAGGCGAGUGGAAUUCCCGGUGUAGCGGUGAAAUGCGCAGAUAUCGGGAGGAACACCUAUGGCGAAGGCAGCUCGCUGGGACGUUACUGACGCUGAGACGCGAAAGCGUGGGGAGCAAACAGG
rnacentral:rRNA from 1 species